UCCUCUUGGCAAUGGGCAAAGAAAUACCUUGUUGGUGGUGUUGCUCUUGUAUCAGUCAGGGGCACAGCAGAUGAAGUUCUUUGUUCAUCCUAGUUUAAUGUCUGACUUGAUGGCUAAAGUUGUUUUAUGUGUAGGACACAUAA